UCCGUUACAGAGGCGGGAAUGUCAAACAUUUUAUUUUCCAGGGGACGUGUCGCCAUUUUGAUUAGUGAAGCAAAAUCUCAUAUCGUUGGAAUUUCCGGGGGUAUCUUUGUACUGGAUUAUUCAGCGAUAUUCAAUUUCUUGGCCACCGUGAUAACUUACUGGGUCGUUUGCUCUACAUCGGGAGGAUCCUGAUGAUGAUGAUUGUUUGGUAUGCAAAUUCUGUUGGGCGGAUCUCACUUCACCCAACAUGUGGCGGUUGAAAGCACGAAUUGAACUCGUUGCUUAUCAAAUAGACUUUAACCAUGCA